rnacentral:tRNA from 1 species
UUUUUUAACAUUUUUAAAACUCUGACUGUUAAUCAGAGGGUCGCUGGUUCGAGCCCAGCAGGAGGAGCCA